rnacentral:rRNA from 1 species
GUAAUGCCUGGGAAAUUGCCCUGAUGUGGGGGAUAACCAUUGGAAACGAUGGCUAAUACCGCAUAAUGCCUUCGGGUCAAAGAGGGGGACCUUCGGGCCUCUCGCGUCAGGAUAUGCCCAGGUGGGAUUAGCUAGUUGGUGAGGUAAUGGCUCACCAAGGCGACGAUCCCUAGCUGGUCUGAGAGGAUGAUCAGCCACACUGGAACUGAGACACGGUCCAGACUCCUACGGGAGGCAGCAGUGGGGAAUAUUGCACAAUGGGCGCAAGCCUGAUGCAGCCAUGCCGCGUGUGUGAAGAAGGCCUUCGGGUUGUAAAGCACUUUCAGCAGUGAGGAAGGCGGGUACGUUAAUAGCGUAUUCGUUUGACGUUAGCUGCAGAAGAAGCACCGGCUAACUCCGUGCCAGCAGCCGCGGUAAUACGGAGGGUGCGAGCGUUAAUCGGAAUUACUGGGCGUAAAGCGCAUGCAGGUGGUUCGUUAAGUCAGAUGUGAAAGCCCGGGGCUCAACCUCGGAACUGCAUUUGAAACUGGCGGACUAGAGUACUGUAGAGGGGGGUAGAAUUUCAGGUGUAACGGUGAUAUGCGUAGAGAUCUCAAGGAAUACUAGUCGCGUAGGCUCCCCCCGGUACAGAU